CCAAUAGCGUAUAUUAAAGUUGUUGCAGUUAAAAAGCUCGUAGUUGAAUUUCGGGACCAUCAUGUUGGUCGUGCCUCGGUACGUACUGGCAUUGUUGGUUUCUCCCUUCUGACAAACCAUGAUGUCAUUUAUUUGGUGUUGUGGGAAAUCAGGACUGUUACUUUGAAAAAAUUAGAGUGUUUAAAGCAGGCUCACGCUUGAAUACAUUAGCAUGGAAUAAUGAAAUAGGACGUUUGAUUCUAUUUUGUUGGUUUCUAGGAUCGACGUAAUGAUUAAUAGGGAUAGUUGGGGGCAUUAGUAUUCAAUUGUCAGAGGUGAAAUUCUUGGAUUUAUUGAAGACUAACUACUGCGAAAGCAUUUGCCAAGGAUGUUUUCAUUAAUCAAGAACGAAAGUUAGGGGAUCGAAGACGAUCAGAUACCGUCGUAGUCUUAACCAUAAACUAUGCCGACUAGGGAUCGGAUGAUGUUAAUUUUUUAAUGACUCAUGCGGCGCCUUACG
rnacentral:rRNA from 1 species